UACGUAGGUGGCAAGCGUUGUCCGGAUUUAUUGGGUUUAAAGGGUGCGUAGGCGGUCUUUUAAGUCAGUGGUGAAAUACUCCAGCUUAACUGGAGGGGUGGCAUUGAUACUGGGAGACUUGAGUGUAGUCGAGGUAGGCGGAAUUGACGGUGUAGCGGUGAAAUGCUUAGAUAUCGUCAAGAACACCGAUAGUGAAAACAGCUUACUAGGCUACAACUGACGCUGAGGCACGAAAGUGUGGGGAUCAAACAGG
rnacentral:rRNA from 1 species